UAGGGAAUUUUGGACAAUGGGGGAAACCCUGAUCCAGCUAUACCGCGUGUGUGAAGAAGGCCUUAGGGUUGUAAAGCACUUUAAGCAACGAAGAAGAUAACAAUGUUAAUACCAUAGUUAUUUGACGUUAAUUGCAGAAUAAGUACCGGCUAACUCCGUGCCAGCAGCCGCGGUAAUACGGAGGGUACAAGCGUUAAUCGGAAUUACUGGGCGUAAAGCGCGCGUAGGCGGUUAAGCAAGUUGGAUGUGAAAGCCCUGGGCUCAACCUGGGAACUGCAUUCAAAACUACUUAACUAGAGUACGAGAGAGGAGAGUAGAAUUUCUGGUGUAGCGGUGAAAUGCGUAGAUAUCAGAAGGAAUACCAAUGGCGAAGGCAGCUCUCUGGCUCGUCACUGACGCUAAGGUGCGAAAGCGUGGGUAGCAAACAGG
rnacentral:rRNA from 1 species